GACGAACGCUGGCGGCGUGCCUAAUACAUGCAAGUAGAACGCACAGUUUAUACCGUAGCUUGCUACACCAUAGACUGUGAGUUGCGAACGGGUGAGUAACGCGUAGGUAACCUGCCUGGUAGCGGGGGAUAACUACUGGAAACGAUAGCUAAUACCGCAUAAUAUUGAUUAUUGCAUGAUAAUUGAUUGAAAGAUGCUAUUGCAUCACUACCAGAUGGACCUGCGUUGUAUUAGCUAGUAGGUGAGGUAACGGCUCACCUAGGCGACGAUACAUAGCCGACCUGGGAGGCUGAUCGGCCACACUGGGACUGAGACACGGCCCAGACUCCUACGGGAGGCAGCAGUAGGGAAUCUUCGGCAAUGGACGAAAGUCUGACCGAGCAACGCCGCGUGAGUGAAGAAGGUUUUCGGAUCGUAAAGCUCUGUUGUAAGAGAAGAACGGGUGUGAGAGUGGGAAGUUCACACUGUGACGGUAUCUUACCAGAAAGGGACGGCUAACUACGUG
rnacentral:rRNA from 1 species